AUUGAACGCUGGCGGCAUGCCUAACACAUGCAAGUCGAACGGUAACGGGCUUUGGGUUUCCUACGAGUGGCGGAGGGUUGCGUAAUACAGCGGAACGUGUCCGAACCUGCUGGAUAACGGGGCGCAACCUUUGUUAACAUCCCAUACUACCGAAGAUGCAAAGCGGGUGACCGCAAGGCAUUGCUGGACCUUGCCCGCUCAUGGGAGCUUAGGUAGUUGGUGGGAUAAAGGCUUACCAAGCCGACGAUCUGCAGCUGGUCUGAGAGGAUGAUCAGCCACACUGGAACUGAGACACGGCCCAGACUCCUACGGGAGGCAGCAGUGGGGAAUUUUGGACAAUGGGCGCAAGCCUGAUCCAGCCAUGCCGCGUGCGGGAUGAAGGCCUUCGGGUUGUAAAGUGCUUUUGUACGGAACGAAAAGCCUUCGUUUAAUACAGGGGGGUCAUGACGGUACCGUAAGAAUAAGCACCGGCUAACUACGUG
rnacentral:rRNA from 1 species